rnacentral:tRNA from 1 species
GCAGUUGUAAUUCAGUGGUAGAAUUCUUGCUUUCCAUGCAGGACGCCCAGGUUUGAUUCCUGGCAACGCA